rnacentral:rRNA from 1 species
CACGUAGGCACCAAGCGUUGUCCGGAUUUAUUGGGCGUAAAGAGCUCGUAGGCGGUUCAGUAAGUCAGGUGUGAAAUCUUUGGGCUUAACCCAAAGCGUGCACUUGAUACUGCUGUGACUUGAGUUCGGUAGGGGAGUGGGGAAUUCCUAGUGUAGCGGUGAAAUGCGCAGAUAUUAGGAGGAACACCGGUGGCGAAGGCGCCACUCUGGGCCGAAACUGACGCUGAGGAGCGAAAGCCAGGGGAGCAAACGGG